GCCUUUGUGGAUCAAUGUAGAUCGCUUCCUCCCUAUGGAGGUAGUGCCACCGGAAUAUAUGGAAAGAGAAAUGGGUUCGAAUCCCAUCGAAGGCG